rnacentral:lncRNA from 1 species
AUGCACAGGGGAAUCGCCGUCAGCUGGAGGUGCUGGGCCAGGCACCCUCGACCCCAUUGCUUCGGUCUCGGGGCCCUCGACCCCAUUGCUUUGGGAGUUUUGCAGGUCAAAAAAAUGCAGGAGGGGAAGCCCCAUCCAUGGACGUGCCGCUGUGCCCUCUCCGUGGCGUGCCCUGGGCAGGAUUUUGCGGCUGUGCUGGAUGGGGCUGGCAUUUCGGGUGGGGAUGCAUCCGUGGGGCGAUGCAGAGCGCCGAUGGAAGCAACAACCCAGCUCCCAGCCCGCUUCUGCUCCCUGGGGGCAGCCAGAGGUCGGCCAGAAAUGCACAGGGGCUCCCACGUCCCCCCUCCAGGAAGCCCCCCAGGGCAUUUGGGUGGCGCUGCCCCUGCCACCAGUAUGGCCAGUGGGGUCUGCGCCCCGUGGCCAAGGGGACAGAGCUCAAACCCCUGGGGGCUCCUCUUGCUGCGGGACCCCCACCCCUGCUGCCUCCCAGGAGAUGCCAGCAGGGAGCACCACGCCACACGGGACACCCUGGGGACACCGCUGUCCCCAUGCUCUCCCCACCACCUCCUCACACACCCCACGGGCAGAAGGUCGCCCCUUUCCCAGGGGACACACAGGGGCGUCCCCAUCACCAGCUGCUCCACCGGGAGCCCCGCGGUGCGCUCAGCACCCCCAGCUCUCCACCGCUCACCUCUCCACCCUUGGGACCGUUUCCAGCUGCCACCCCAAAUUAUCUGGGGUUUGGGGACAGCCUCCCCAUGCCCCCUCUCCGAGGCCCCCAGAGGUGGAGGCGCAGCCCCCCAGGAGCUGCAGCUCUGGUUCCUUGGUCUGCUUCUCGCGCCUGUUUCCCGUGAAAGCCCCGGGGACGGCAGCUGCUGGCGGUGGGCACAGCCAGGGCAUCUGGGGCAGGAUGAAAGAGGCACCCUGGGGGCUCAGCCCCCAGCCUCCCUCCCCAUUACCACCAGGAGCCCAGCACUGACCCUGCCCCUCCUGCAGGCUCCCCCCAGCUCCUAA